AUGAAAAUAGGAAGCACAGAAAUAUCGAAUAUAAUCCACGAAGUAUGAGUAUACUCUUGGAUUUUGAAUGUAAAUACAAAUUUAAAUUGCAUCACUAUUUAUUACAGAACUGAUUACAAAAUGACUUACUGGUUACAGAUACAAAGACUUGCAAACUUUCGCCAUUCGUAAGGAUAAUAAGAAGGUAAAUCAGAAAGAUGACAAUCACACAUGUGUAAUAAACAAAGCCAGAGGGACGUUACCGACUUUGACUGAUGUACAAAAGGUUGAAGAUAGAGAAAGCUUAAUUGAGAAAGAAAGCUAUCUGAGGGAAAAGAAGAGAAGAGAAGCUAGGAGAAGCUGAGAAGAGAACUAUUGAGAACUAUUUGAGAAGAACUUUGGUUGCUGCUGCUGCUGCUGGUCUUUCCUUGAAUAUGCUCUGCCCUCUUUGCUUGAAUGAAGAGGUAUUUAUAGAGGG
rnacentral:lncRNA from 1 species